rnacentral:rRNA from 1 species
GACGAACGCUGGCGGCGUGCUUAACACAUGCAAGUCGAACGAAGAGCGACGGAAGCUUGCUUCUAUCAAUCUUAGUGGCGAACGGGUGAGUAACGCGUAAUCAACCUGCCCUUCAGAGGGGGACAACAGUUGGAAACGACUGCUAAUACCGCAUACGCUCUAAUCACGUCAUCGAGGAUGGAUGAAAGGUGGACUCUACAUGUAAGCUAUCACUGAAGGAGGGGAUUGGGUCUGUUUGGCUAGUUGGGGGGGAACGGGCCCACCAAGGCGAUGAUCAGUAGCCGGUCUGAGAGGAUGAACGGCCACAUUGGGACUGAGACACGGCCCAGACUCCUACGGGAGGCAGCAGUGGGGAAUCUUCCGCAAUGGACGAAAGUCUGACGGAGCAACGCCGCGUGAGUGAUGACGGCCUUCGGGUUGUAAAGCUCUGUUAAUCGGGACGAAAGGCCUUCUUGCGAAUAGGGAGAAGGAUUGACGGUACCGGAAUAGAAAGCCACGGCUAACUACGUG